rnacentral:rRNA from 1 species
UACGUAGGGUGCAAGCGUUGUCCGGAAUUAUUGGGCGUAAAGAGCGUGUAGGCGGCCCGAUUAGUCCGCUGUGAAAGUCCAGGGCUCAACCCUGGAAUGCCGGUGGAUACUGUCGGGCUAGAGUCCGGAAGGGGCGAGUGGAAUUCCUGGUGUAGCGGUGAAAUGCGCAGAUAUCAGGAGGAACACCAAUGGCGAAGGCAGCUCGCUGGGACGUGACUGACGCUGAGACGCGAAAGCGUGGGAGGCAAACAGG